GCGUCCCGGCAGCACCUGGAGGACUUCCUCGGGGACGGGCGGGCGGGCGAGGCCGCGGUCGCCGGCUCCCCGGUCGGCUACCUGUACGGCGCCCACCACUCGUUCUGCCAGUGCGCCCACGAGGCCCGCGGGCCACCGGGGGUCGCCCAGGGGGGCACCCAGGGGGGCACCCAGGGGGGCACCCAGGGGGGAACCCAAGGGGGCACCCAGGGGGGCACCCAGGGGGGAACCCAAGGGGGCACCCAGGGACUCGCGCGCGCCGACGUACGGGAAGACCGAACGCAGCAGUUGCCAACGAAUCUGAGGCCGGUAUGUGAGCGGGGCGUGACAACUGGAUCCAAUAAUCUGACUCUCACUGGAAAUUACCAAAGCCCUGUUCAGUCCCAGCCCAGUUCCGGCAGCGAUCUCGUGACGCCUACCCAGAGCGAGGCGGAGGCGCCGUCCCACAAGGCGACCCCGCAGCAGCCGACAGCCCGGCCGCCCGGAGAGGCUCCAGCUGCGGUGGCCGCCGGGGAGGGGGACGGAACGCACGACGCGCUGGAGCAGAAGGGAGGCGGGCUCCUCGGCGAGGCGCUCGCCC